GCAAGGGGAUAAUGGAAUAGGACGCGCGUUCCCAUUUUGUUGGUUUCUAGAGAUCGCCGUAAUGAUUAAUAGGGAUAGUUGGGGGCAUUUGUAUUCCGUCGUCAGAGGUGAAAUUCUUGGAUUGCCGGAAGACAAACUACUGCGAAAGCAUUUGCCAAGGAUGUUUUCAUUGAUCAAGAACGAAGGAAGGGGGAUCGAAAACGAUUAGAUACCGUUGUAGUCUCUUCUGUAAACUAUGCCAAUUGGGGAUCGGCACAGGAUUUUUAAUGACUGUGUCGGCACCCGAAGAGAAAUCUUUAAAUGAGGUUCGGGGGGGAGUAUGGUCGCAAGGCUGAAACUUAAAGGAAUUGACGGAAGGGCACCACCAGGUGUGGAGCCUGCGGCUUAAUUUGACUCAACACGGGGAAACUCACCAGGUCCAGACACAAUAAGGAUUGACAGAUUGAUAGCUCUUUCUUGAUCUUGUGGUUGGUGGUGCAUGGCCGUUCUUAGUUGGUGGAGUGAUUUGUCUGGUUAAUUCCGAUAACGAACGAGACCUUAACCUGCUAAAUAGACCAGCCGACUUUGGUUAGCUGCUGUCUUCUUAGAGGGACUAUCAGCGUUUAGCUGAUGGAAGUUUGAGGCAAUAACAGGUCUGUGAUGCCCUUAGAUGUUCUGGGCCGCACGCGCGCUACACUGACAGAGCCAGCGAGUCUACCACCUUUGCCGGAAGGCAUGGGUAAUCUUGUGAAACUCUGUCGUGAUGGGGAUAGAGCAAUUGCA
rnacentral:rRNA from 1 species